rnacentral:rRNA from 1 species
UUUAUGGAGAGUUUGAUCCUGGCUCAGGAUGAACGCUGGCGGCGUGCCUAAUACAUGCAAGUCGAGCGAACAGACGGGGAGCUUGCUCCCCCGACGUUAGCGGCGGACGGGUGAGUAACACGUGGGUAACCUACCUAUAAGACUGGAAUAACUCCGGGAAACCGGGGCUAAUGCCGGAUAACAUGUGUGGACCGCAUGGUCCUACAGUGAAAGAUGGUCUUGCUGUCGCUUAUAGAUGGACCCGCGCCGUAUUAGCUAGUUGGUAAGGUAACGGCUUACCAAGGCAACGAUACGUAGCCGACCUGAGAGGGUGAUCGGCCACACUGGAACUGAGACACGGUCCAGACUCCUACGGGAGGCAGCAGUAGGGAAUCUUCCGCAAUGGGCGAAAGCCUGACGGAGCAACGCCGCGUGAGUGAUGAAGGCCUUCGGGUCGUAAAACUCUGUUAUUAGGGAAGAACAAAUGUGUAAAUAACUAUGCACGUCUUGACG